AGGGCCCCAUUUGGGCCAAGGGCUCCCCCACCCGAUGAAGAAGAUCCCAGGGUCAAGUGCAAAAACUGCGGGGCCUUUGGCCACACGGCCAGAAGUACCAGGUGCCCCAUGAAGUGCUGGAACGGAGCCCUCGUUCCCCAGACCUUUGGGAGAAAGGAAGGGAAGGAAAACCUGAAACCAUGGAAGCCCCAGGUUUGAGGGAACCCGGGGCUCUUGAACAAGGAAAAGGGAGAGAAGGAAGAGAGACCAAGGCAACAAGACCCUCAGAGGAAGGCUCUCCUCCAGAUCCUUUCCGGGAAACCUCCGGAGAAGCCGCUGCCAAAUCGAAAAGAGUCCAUGGAAUCUUGUGAUUGCCUGAGGGUUGCAAGCAGGCCAAUGGCGGUCCACACAACCAAUAAGAGGCCACGCUUGGACCCUGCCCUCACUGAUGGCUCAGCUACCAAAAUGUCUGACACGGUAUCCGUCUUGGCUUCACUGUCGCCCCUGAGAAAAGCCAGGCUGAGCUCCUCGUCAAGUCUCCGACCAAAGGAACGACAGACAGGGGCCGUGGCCGACAUCCCUCAGCCUGGAGUCAGGCGGCAGGGCCCGGAGCCACUCGUCGUGGUGAAGCCGACACACAGCAGGCCUCAGCGUGGCUGUCGAGAAGUUCCCCAGGCUGCCUCCAAGCCCCACGGCCUGAUCCAGGUCAUCAGCCCCCAGGCACAAGACGAACGUCCUGCGGUGACCUCACAGCCCUGCCCACCAGCCGACACACACAGCUUGGGCCUCGGCUCCAAUCCCAGUUUCAGGUCAGGAGCCAAGAGACCUGCCCAGGCUCCGACUCAGGCUUGCCUGAACUUCCCCAAGAAACCGAGAAUGAGUCCGUUCCAGAUGCCUGAAAAUGCCAUCCAGGGAGGUGAGCUGGGGGCCCCAGAGACUCUCCAACCUCCGCCAGCUGCAACCGAACUCAGACCAAGUCCGUUGCCCCAGAUGAGCAGGGGGACACCCGCCCAGGUGCCCAGCAGCGACCGGCAGCCUCCGCACAGCAGACCUUGCCUGCCUAGUGUCCAGGCCUGCACCAUGUCCCAUCACCCAACGGCCAGCCACGAUGGGGCCCAGCCUCUCAGAAUGCUCUUCCGGAGACUGGAAAACGGAGGGUGGAGCUCCAGCCUCCAGCCUCCUGACAGCUCCCUCGUUUCCCUCUCCUGAGAAGCCGGGAGCCCUCCUUGCUCACAGCCCUCAUGUCUCAGAGAAGUCUGAGGCUCCCUGUGUUCCUGUCCCCCUGAGUGUCCUCUAUGAGGACCUUCAGGUUUCCUCCUCCUCAGAGGACAGCAAUUCUGACCUGGAGUGAGACUGCAGGUGGCCGGGGCUCCAUUGCAUCCAGCUCCCAUGACUUGGAGGGGUCUGUGGGACUGAGGAGCACAGAGCAGAGAGCAGACUGUGUGUGGUGACUCCCAAGCUCCCCAGCUGUGGUGCUUCUGUAGAUGUUGGAGCCCAGGCCAGGCAGGGACCAGAUGCAGAGACUCUGCCUCAUCGAAUUCUGGUGAGGGACAUUGUAGUUCGCAGGGCUCUCCGGAAACCCGCCACCAGAAGCUUCUGUGCCAGUGAUUCGUUGCCUCAGAAACUGGGUGACCAUGACGCGCGGGAGUCAGACUUCCGCUGUGAUGUCAGUAGGAAACUGAGGAAUGACUGUAUGUUUGCUCUCUAGAUGACUGAAUCAGGGAACAGUUAGGGAACCCUGAGAGAUGCAGGCCUUCAGCUGUGCCCCGCCCUGACAGCAGUGUUUUGGACACUGUGAAGGGUUCUGCGCAAAGCCUUCUUGGGGUGUUUCCUCAGCCUCGAAAAUUGGGCUCUGGAAUGCCAUUGGAAAUAGGUGUGUUUAAUUUGUUUUGAAGUGAAUAAAAUUCUCAAAAAGAUGA